rnacentral:rRNA from 1 species
AUUGAACGCUGGCGGCAUGCCUUACACAUGCAAGUCGAACGGCAGCAUGGGUGCUUGCACCUGAUGGCGAGUGGCGAACGGGUGAGUAAUGCAUCGGAACGUACCCGGAAGUGGGGGAUAACGUAGCGAAAGUUACGCUAAUACCGCAUAUUCUGUGAGCAGGAAAGCGGGGGAUCGCAAGACCUCGCGCUUCCGGAGCGGCCGAUGUCGGAUUAGCUAGUUGGCGGGGUAAAGGCCCACCAAGGCAACGAUCCGUAGCGGGUCUGAGAGGAUGAUCCGCCACACUGGGACUGAGACACGGCCCAGACUCCUACGGGAGGCAGCAGUGGGGAAUUUUGGACAAUGGGCGCAAGCCUGAUCCAGCCAUGCCGCGUGAGUGAAGAAGGCCUCGGUUGUAAGACUCUUCGGUCGGGAGGAAUACACAUCUCCUAACUAACGGGUGGUGGAGUGACGGUACCGAACUAAGAAGACACCGGCGUAACUACGUACGCCACGC